AUGAACGCUGGCGGCGUGCCUAAUACAUGCAAGUCGAGCGAACAGACGAGGAGCUUGCUCCUCAGACGUUAGCGGCGGACGGGUGAGUAACACGUGGAUAACCUACCUAUAAGACUGGGAUAACUUCGGGAAACCGGAGCUAAUACCGGAUAAUAUAUUGAACCGCAUGGUUCAAUAGUGAAAGACGGUUUUGCUGUCACUUAUAGAUGGAUCCGCGCCGCAUUAGCUAGUUGGUAAGGUAACGGCUUACCAAGGCAACGAUGCGUAGCCGACCUGAGAGGGUGAUCGGCCACACUGGAACUGAGACACGGUCCAGACUCCUACGGGAGGCAGCAGUAGGGAAUCUUCCGCAAGGGGCGAAAGCCUGACGGAGCAACGCCGCGCGAGUGAUGAAGGUCUUCGGAUCGUAAAACUCUGUUAUUAGGGAAGAACAAAUGUGUAAGUAACUAUGCACGUCUUGACGGUACCUAAUCAGAAAGCCACGGCUAACUACG
rnacentral:rRNA from 1 species